rnacentral:rRNA from 1 species
UACGUAGGGGGCAAGCGUUGUCCGGAUUUAUUGGGCGUAAAGAGCGUGUAGGCGGUUAGGUAGGUCCGUUGUGAAAACUCGAGGCUCAACCUCGAGACGCCGAUGGAAACCAUCUGACUAGAGUCCGGAAGAGGAGAGUGGAAUUCCUGGUGUAGCGGUGAAAUGCGCAGAUAUCAGGAAGAACACCGAUGGCGAAAGCAGUCUGCUGGGCUUAUCCCGACACUGAGAUACGAAAGCGUGGGGAGCGAACGGG